CUACGGGUUGCUGCAGUGAGGAAUAUUGCACAAUGGGGGGAACCCUGAUGCAGCAACGCCGCGUGGAGGAUGACGCAUUUCGGUGUGUAAACUCCUUUUAUAUGUCAAGAAAAUGACGGUAGCAUAUGAAUAAGUGCCGGCUAACUCCGUGCCAGCAGCCGCGGUAAUAUGGAGGGCGCAAGCGUUACUCGGAAUCACUGGGCGUAAAGGACGCGUAGGCGGGUUGAAAAGUCAGGUGUGAAAGCCUACAGCUUAACUGUAGAACUGCACUUGAAACUCUCAAUCUAGAGUAUGGGAGGGGCAGAUGGAAUUAGUGGUGUAGGGGUAAAAUCCGUAGAUAUCACUAGGAAUACCUAAAGCGAAGGCGAUCUGCUGGAACAUUACUGACGCUAAGGCGUGAAAGCGUGGGGAGCAAACAGGAUUAGAUACCCCGGUAGUC
rnacentral:rRNA from 1 species